GUACUCUCAUACUCUCUGAUCUUAGGAUUGGGAGUGGUGGACUUGGGUGUUGCUGCUUCACUGUGGCUCACCUGAAAUGCAUUAGUGCAACUCUUGACUAACCAUAGUAUGGCAUGAUAAGCAUCUUUGCCAGCACCUCUCCGGAGGGUGGUCAGUCAAGAGCUCUGUGCUUCUAACUGUCUUUGGACAAUCUUGACA
rnacentral:misc_RNA from 1 species